UACGAAGGUCCCAAGCGUUAUCCGGAUUUAUUGGGUUUAAAGGGUGCGUAGGCGGGUUAUUAAGUCAGUGGUGAAAGCCUUCAGCUCAACUGAAGAAUUGCCAUUGAUACUGAUGAUCUUGAGUACGAUUGAGGUAGGCGGAAUGUGUCAUGUAGCGGUGAAAUGCUUAGAUAUGACACAGAACACCGAUUGCGAAGGCAGCUUACUAAGUCGUAACUGACGCUGAGGCACGAAAGUGUGGGGAUCAAACAGG
rnacentral:rRNA from 1 species